AGAAGAUUAGGUUAGUGGUAAACUUGUAGCCUUCAAAGUUAUUCACGUUGGUUCGAUUCCAUCAUCUUCUG
rnacentral:tRNA from 1 species